CCUACGGGAGGCAGCAGUGAGGAAUAUUGGUCAAUGGACGAGAGUCUGAACCAGCCAAGUAGCGUGAAGGAUGACUGCCCUAUGGGUUGUAAACUUCUUUUAUAUGGGAAUAAAAUGUUCCACGUGUGGGAUUUUGUAUGUACCAUAUGAAUAAGGAUCGGCUAACUCCGUGCCAGCAGCCGCGGUAAUACGGAGGAUCCGAGCAUUAUCCGGAUUUAUUGGGUUUAAAGGGAGCGUAGGUGGAUUGUUAAGUCAGUUGUGAAAGUUUGCGGCUCAACCGUAAAAUUGCAGUUGAAACUGGCAGUCUUGAGUACAGUAGAGGUGUGCGGAAUUCGUGGUGUAGCGGUGAAAUGCUUAGAUAUCACGAAGAACUCCGAUUGCGAAGGCAGUUCACUGGACUGCAACUGACACUGAGGCUCGAAAGUGUGGGUAUCAAACAGGAUUAGAGACCCCAGUAGUC
rnacentral:rRNA from 1 species